rnacentral:rRNA from 1 species
UACAGAGGGCUCGAGCGUUAGGCGGGAUCACUGGGCUUAAAGCGUGUGUAGGCGGAUGCCUAAGUACCUUGUGAAAUCCCACAGCUUAACUGUGGAACUGCUUGGUAUACUGGGUGGCUUGAGCCACUCAGGGGCGAGCGGAACAAAUGGUGGAGCGGUGAAAUGCGUAGAUAUCAUUUGGAACGCCAAUGGUGAAAACAGCUCGCUGGGGGUGUGCUGACGCUGAGACACGAAAGCCAGGGGAGCGAACGGG